UGCAAAAUCCGCUUUCUAAUCAGCUUCUGCAAACACACGAAUUAGGGUUUCACAUUUUAUGCAUUUUUGUCAAUGGACAUCGAUCCCGAUAUUUCAAAUUGGAUUCUCGAAUUCCUUCUUAAACAACCCCUCCAAGAUAGUAUAUUGAAUUUUCUGGUUUCUAAUCUUCCUCUCCCCAACAACAAUCCUAUUCUGAAAAAAUCCCUUCUGUUGAAGAAGCUCGAGUUUGAAAUCUCACACAAUUCUGCUGUUUCGGAAACAACCCUUGAACACCUGGAACAACUCGAAGAACUAGAAUCCCGAAAAGGGGUUGAAAGAGUUUCCGAUGCCAUGAAGUGCGCGUAUUGGCAAAUUGCGGUUGAAUGCUCGGUGAAGUAUUUGAAAAAGGAGGUUUGGAAGAAGAGUAAGUACGAUUUUUUUAAGUCACUGAAGAGUGUGUGGUGGGGUAGGGUUGGGAAACUGGAGAAGGUGGAGAAUGGAGGAUUGGGUUCGGAGGAGUUGUUUGCCUGGAGGGACGAGAUGGAUAAUGCCUUUCCGAAGAAACGUGCUCGGAAAAGAUUGGUUAAAAAGAGUAAGGGAGUUAAUGCAGUUGAGGCUCUUAGGGUUUAUUUGAAAGAAGAAAGGGAGAAAAUGGGGCCUUCGUUUCUUGAGUUGGUUGCUCAUAGAUUCAAGGAUGAGGAGACAAUGAAGGAGGUGCUCGGAUUGGGGAAUGCCAAUGGGAUUGUACCUAACGAACCAGUUUUACGUAGUGCUGAUCAGGAUUCGGCUGCUAAGAACAAUAAUGGAGGUGGUUCCUUGUUUCUUGCAGUAGUGCAAAAAGAUGCAUCAUUGCAGCGAUCAUCAGAUACUUUUAGAGGAGCUGAGGUUGUUGAUUCUGACUGUUUGGCAGUACAGCCAUUGCUUUGCAAAUAUGAUUUGCCACCUACCCCAGAAGUUACCAGAGUACAGGAAGCACUUGAGUCAAGUCGUUUGGAUCUUCAAGCAAACGUGAAGGACCCCCUUCCUGAUGCACUACGACGUGCUGAAGUAAUCACUGGCAAGGAAAGAGGAAGUACAGAUCAUGAGCCCAUAAAAGAGAAUCAUGUCAGCCCCAAUCCUUCAGCUGUGAAUGGUGCUGGAGUAAUCACUGGCAAGGAAAGAGGAAGUACAGAUCAUGAGCCCAUACAAGAGAAUCAUGUCAGCCCCAAUCCUUCAGCUGUGAAUGGUGUUGUUCGAACUGAUGGAGGAAAUCCAAGUAAUAGACCCAGACCAAGCUUAAUGGAAAGAAACAGCACUGCCCAUACUCAUGAGUGGGAUGAAUCAAAUGUGAAUUCAUUAGAAGACUCAACAGAUCGUGUGAGCAGGCCUAAGUUGCCAAGUCCAAAGAGAAGGCUCGUAUCUCCUUUGAAGAAAACCGGGAAAGGACAAACAACGAAGAGGAGAAGAGUUGGCAAAUGGAGUGCAGAGGAAGAAGACACUCUGCGGGCUGGAGUAGAGGAGUAUGGACAAGGAAAUUGGAAAUGUAUCCUAAAGGCCUACCGCCACAUAUUUGAAGGCAGAAGAACUGAGGUUGAUUUGAAGGACAAGUGGAGAAACAUGAAUCGCUAUUGAGAACUUUAAGAAAAUUUUCUCAUGUGGAGGUAUGAUUUCUUCACAGCCCCUUAUUUUGUCAUGGAACAGCUGUUCUAAUGGUACCUAGAGGGAUAGUGAUGUUGGACAAUUCUAUUACAAAUAGGAUAGGAUUUGUGUUUAGCUGGGUUUUUUAUUGUUUAGAUCAUGACUUUUUAUUCUUUGAGGUUUCUGGUGUCUUACUCUUUUACGUUUUAGUUACUUAUCUUCCUUAAGCAAUUAUGGUUAUCAGAAGCAAAGGUCAUGUACCAUUUUUAAAUAAAACCAAUUCACUGCGAUAAAAUUAUUCUCUGUAGUCUGCCGUCUCUUCUUCUAGCCGUGUUUCUUUUUCUUUUUUUCUUUCUCACUUCAGUCGUCACUUUCUUCUUUCCUUCCUAGUAGUCAGCCGUCUCUUCUUCUGGCUGUGUUUCUUUUUUCUUCCAGCCAUUCAGCCAUGUUUUCUUCGAGCUGUCUGUUUUGCUUCUGCUUAAUAUUUUCUUCCAGCCAUCUGCAUUUCUGUCUCUACACAACGCAAUGGGACCUUCGACGCACGUUGGCAACGUGUCGUAGACGUACCGGUGUCUGAUGUCGAAGCUGACAGCGUGUCGGUGCCUCCCAGUGUGCAAUUGAAAUGGUGUAGCCCACUUUUGGCCAUGUUGAUCAUCAAAGGAAGCAUGUCGUCUUUUGGUUUUGUAAAUAAAGCUCUUAAGACCCCUUUUGGUCGAAAUGGGUAUGGCAUGGGUUCUGCUUUGCCCCAUGUCAAUGCUACGGCUGGAUGUGCAUAAGAUGUGUGGCUCAUGUGCCAUUCGGCAAGGACCCAAGCAAGGAAACGUGUUGGCAUGGGCUGGAUGGGCGGGUGAUAUGCGCAUUUGGCAGGUAGCGGAAGCAUACAAUGCUGAUUUACUUGAUGGCAGCACUGCAUGGGCAGAAUUACCCCGAUGUCAGGGGACGGAAUGCUGCAGGCAAGCACAAACAAAGUUGGUUGGCAUGAAGUGAGUCAGUGUGUCAGUCUAAGCAUGCUGAGUGCAUAUGGGGAAAUAAUUUACUGCAGGCAACUUUGUUUUUUAGUGGGUGAAUUCAGCCUUGGUGGUUAAUUUUCUCAGCGAUUAUGGGCGGUUAUCUUGGUCCAUUGGCCUUAGUUAGAUUUCUACAAAUCCAAGCAGUUACGGGUAUUUCCUGUAUAAAUACAAAUUGCUGAGGCAGCAAUUGGUAGUGUGUUUACCCUUCACAUUUGUACUUGAAUUUCCUUAAAUUGUUGAGCAGUAAAGGUUGGGAAGAAUUCCUUAAUACUAUCUCUCCCUUUAUCUUUUA